GAUGAACGCUGGCGGCGUGCCUAAUACAUGCAAGUCGAGCGAACAGACGAGGAGCUUGCUCCUCUGACGUUAGCGGCGGACGGGUGAGUAACACGUGGAUAACCUACCUAUAAGACUGGGAUAACUUCGGGAAACCGGAGCUAAUACCGGAUAAUAUAUUGAACCGCAUGGUUCAAUAGUGAAAGACGGUUUUGCUGUCACUUAUAGAUGGAUCCGCGCCGCAUUAGCUAGUUGGUAAGGUAACGGCUUACCAAGGCAACGAUGCGUAGCCGAUCUGAGAGGGUGAUCGGCCACACUGGAACUGAGACACGGUCCAGACUCCUACGGGAGGCAGCAGUAGGGAAUCUUCCGCAAUGGGCGAAAGCCUGACGGAGCAACGCCGCGUGAGUGAUGAAGGUCUUCGGAUCGUAAAACUCUGUUAUUAGGGAAGAACAAUUGUGUAAGUAACUAUGCACGUCUUGACGGUACCUAAUCAGAAAGCCACGGCUAACUACGUG
rnacentral:rRNA from 1 species